UCAAAAACAAAGCAAUGAAAAGGAAUUUGGCUUGUUUCUUAUUUUUGUGAUUUUUUUCAGCAGUGAGCACGCGUGUUAGCAAAAAAAAAAGCAACGAGAUUGGUGCUGUAUUUCUUUGCUUUACGAUGAGAUGAAUAUAUGUUCAGUGAGAUGGAAAUCGGAACAGUUCCCCUAACUAAAGGAAUUUUGAAAACCAUACAAACAAUCCAGGCCAACUACCUUGAACACUACAAAAUUUACACAGAUUGCUCAGUUUGAACUUGCAAACGCCUUUCCCAAUAGGUUUGACCUUAGGUGAUGUAAUACUAACAUGUAGGAAUACUAUUACAGAAGAUUGGAACAGCAGAUACAGACUAAUUUUAGAGGAAAAGGGAAUUAAACAUUUUGAAAUCAUGGGCAAGGUAAAUGAAAAACCAUGGUUCUACCAAAUGCCUUUCAAUACAAUUGACACCAUACGACUCUCUAGGGUUAGAUCGUUACACACAGCGACGAAGGAAAGAUUAUUUAACUGGAGCUGAUUGCGUCGUCAUUGUGUGAAUCUUGUAAUACCAUAGAAAAUCUAUCCCACAUCUUAUUCGAAUGCACAAAAUACAAUACAAUUCGUCAUAAGUAUCCGGUAUUAAAUGAUAAAAAUGAUAUAAUUGAAAUAGCAACAAAUUGCCAAUCAUCUGAAAGCAGUUAAGAUAAAUGUUUUAGCCAACUUGAAGUAGAGCUCGUGCUAAAAUAUGGUUAGCAAAAUGGUCAACAUCACGACAACAGCGAAUAAAUACUUACGUUUAAACUCUCGUUUAAACGCGGUUUUCGUUACGUCACUAUGGACGAAAAACUUGACAACACUUGGAUAUAUGGAUCAACUAUGGUCUGAGAGAGAAAAGAAGAGGAAAAAAAGAAGUCGAAGUUGCCCGACGAAUUUGAGCGAAGACAUGAGAAGAACGGCGGUUCAGUGAAGACUUCAAACGACACGGGGGAAUAAAAGUGGUGUUGUGCACGAGCGAAAGUGUUUCCAUUGUGGAAAGCCUUUGUUAUUACUUUGUUUUUAUUUACUCGAUCGUUAACAUUAUGUGUAAAUCCGUUCAGCCAUGUUAGUAAAUAAAGCAUCCUUUCUGUUCGUGAAUGUCGGCUAGUGAGCCGCGAUCACUGGUACCAAAUGAGAACUCUGCAUCAAAACCAACAAAUAAUAUGCCGUAAUACCUAGCAAGUUGGAAAAUUAUACCAUUCCGAUCGAAUCCCCGGAAACAAUCAUCGCAGAUGCAGAACCGAAGGACAACACUGGUCUGGAGAAACAUAAAAUCAACCCAAUAUAUAAAUCCGAUCAUCUGAAACCAAAAAUUGAUUACCGUCAACAACGACUGGCAAGUAGAAAACAAGCCAAAGUGGCUCGAGUGGCUGGUUUUGACUUUCCGCUUACAUGUGAAGAGGAUGUCGAACGGUUGGAGCUCAUGGUCAACCGGAAUCCCAUCAUAAGGAAUCAAUACGUCAAAUAUUUGGCAGCUAAUAAACUCUCUCACGUGGACGUUGCCAGCAUACUGCAUCAGUUUUUCAAUGACGAAUCGUUAGCCAAUUUCAUCACAUCCACGCCAUUUGUACGGGAAAACAGGAAGCCAAUGCAAAAAUUCGCCAUUUUCAGUGCAUGUAUGUUGGAAGCUUGGUCCAGCCAAGGCGUUACGCAAGCCAAUCUGUCCAGUUCUUUGCAAAAAGCGUUGCAAGCGGUGAAACUUCGCCUUCAAAUAGAUUAGCUCAGUUGACUUUGAGGGAAAAGCGAUAUCAAUCCUGAGAAAUGAUAACCUUUCGAUUUGUUAUUUAUCGUCAUUGUCAUAGCUAAUAAAAUAAAAACAACUAAC